CAGUCGCCGCGGUAAUACGUAGGUCCCGAGCGUUGUCCGGAUUUAUUGGGCGCAAAGCGAGCGCAGGCGGUUAGAUAAGUCUGAAGUUAAAGGCUGUGGCUUAACCAUAGUACGCUUUGGAAACUGUUUAACUUGAGUGCAAGAAGGGAGAGUGGAAUUCCAUGUGUAGCGGUGAAAUGCGUAGAUAUAUGGAGGAACACCGGUGGCGAAAGCGGCUCUCUGGCUUGUAACUGACGCUGAGGCUCGAAAGCGUGGGGAGCAAACAGGAUUAGAGACCCCCGUAGUCCCUGUCUCUUAUACA
rnacentral:rRNA from 1 species